CAGCUACUGACGCCAUGAUAAUGAUACUGAGUGCCAGUCCCGAGGGUCUCCUAUCAGUCCCUGGCAUCUGCAUUCAUUGCACAUUUUGUAUUGCAUUCCGGUUGAUAAGGAACCAAACAGAUCCACACUCUGACGCUCUAUAAGUAACACUUUUCGGUGAUGAUGCUCGGUUUCCUAUAUAUUUGGUAGAGAACAUAUUAACUACAUUUCUGAAAGGACCAUCUUCUGAAAAUAAAUGGACACAUUUUUAGAAUCUUAGUUCCAUUUCAGUUUUCUUAUAAAACUGAUCACAAGGUGUUCGUCCACUACACAUAUUCCAAAUCUCUAAAGGGCUUUGACCAUGAAGUGUUCUACGCAAUCGAAAUUAUCUUAUCUCUCAGAACAUAGUCGAGCCCCCUUUUUUAACGGCUAUCUACAAAAACUGCGAGACUACAAAGCUUUUAAGUACAGUUGCGUAGAGUCUAUAAAACAAAAAAUAUAGGACCUAAAAAAAAUUUACGUUUUUGAAUCUUAAAAAAUAAUAUAUAUAUUUAUAAAGAUCUUUUGAGAGGUUGAGAGUAACUUAUUUGGACUAACUGAGUAAGAAGUGCUAAAAUCUUGAUUACAGAUAAGAGAACCGAAAACCCAGUGAUAAGAAACCCCUGCGUUCUUUUUUUACCAGCCCCUAAAUUAAAAGACGCCCACCAUGCGGCGAAAACGUGAUCAAUUGCAGAGUUCGACCUAGUGGGAAUGUCAUUGCUGCCGUUUCACAAUCAAUGCUUCGCUUAUCGCCACUGUUUGUCAAUCCUUGAUAUGAGUGGGGCAU